CAGGGACCCUGAUCCGGCGGUCGGGAUUGACCGGAUCGAGCUAUGACUUGGACGGCCGGGAACGAUAGGUUGGGAAUAGGUUACGGUUUAGGCUGUCUGAGGACGUCGAAUCCAUAGAUGGUCUCUACUUUACAGAAACCACCCGAAUGAUUCUUUAAUUUCUCCACAAAUACAAUACAGAUUUUGUAGAAAUCGUUUGGAAUUAGGUUUGAGUUUUCUCUCUUUAAUCAAAUGGAGGUCAUUAUUGAUGGAGUAACUAAUCUCACCAUCAUCGAUUCACACAGGAAGAACCGGAUUGCAGUCUCUAAUACUAAAGACCCAUGUUCUUCUAUGGAAAUCUUGCCAAGGCAAGGAGAGACUUAGAGCAAUGGAAGUUUAAUCAGAUACGAGGAUGCACCGCUCAACAUUCAAUGCCAAAAGAAUACGGAAGAGAUUCAUCCAGCAUACACACAGCCCCCCUUCAUCUCUGAUACAAUAAGGCAUACGUAAUUUAAUGAAGCAACUUUUUUUUGGAUCUUUCUGAUUUCAUAUGUGAGCAAGUUCAAAAAGAAAAGGUAAUAACAACACUACGAUUUGGUUGAAUAGCAUAUGCAGAAUAAGAAGACAUCGGAUGGUUGGUAAAGCUCGAUGAGUCUUUCUGUGAUUAUUGGAAGUACACUACCAGUUUGAUAAUGAAGCUCACGACAGUAGUGCUAAGUUUCUCAGAUUGCAACCCAAAGGAAGAAAACUACAUGUACAACUUAUAUCUAAUAGAACAUUCAAUUAAAAAAAUUAGAAAAAAAAAGAAAAAAAAAAUCUUUGGUAUGGCAUAUUCUUCCUGGCUUAGAUUUGGCAACCUGUAAUAGCAUACCUUAAAGUCACGUUCUGUCAUGUUGUAUUCUUACAUUCUUGCUCUUUUACUGCAGGUACGUAACAACUUUCCUUUGGAUGGCAAUGGGUCCAGAAGAAGAUGAAAUACAAUCUCACAAGGGUGAUACUUUACAUAGUAUGUAGAGGAAGACAUGGUUGUUAACCGAAUCGGGUUAGUGUUUAUACGUCUUAUUAAUCUACACUGCUUCAUGUAUAACAACUAACCCAGUAUCAGUUAACAACAUGAAGCAUUAAGAGUGUAUGGCACGGAUCGGAAGUUGGGCGAGCUAUAUUUUCGAGCGUCCGAUCCAAAGGGUUUCCUGAUAUUGAUAUGGUCCCUUUAGUAAUAUGGUUUCCUAAUGCCGACACUGAUUGCGUUCAGUAAGGUAGUUGUCUCCUAAUUCUAACACCAAGAAAGACUUCGCGACAUCUCUUCUAUUGAGUGUCAAGUAUCCUGAAGCUGAAGACCUUGAGAAUCCACGACAUCGUUUUAUAUCAUUAUGUUCAAGUAAUUUUUUAUCAGAAUUUCCAUGAGUUAUCUGGCAGAGAAUUCCAAUUGGAUGGCAUAUACUACCUGGACUGCAUCUUAGUAUCUAACAAUCAAAGCUACUUGGGAUAUUGUUACCGUCCCGUUAAUAAUUGGUUUCCCAACACUGACACUAAUUGUGUAAGAAACGAUUUCUUCAUUUAACUCUGAACUUCUGUUUUUGAAAAUAUAGUCCUAAUUCUGAUACCAAGAAGAUGUAGUAGACUUUGCGAUAUCUCUUCCGCGUUGGAUUUUUUGAUUGAUUCACAUAUUAUAGAUUCUUCCGAGGAAGAUUGCCUUAUCGGUUUACCAUUAUGAGGUACGUAUUGUUUUUUUUUUAUUGAGCCUGUCUCCAUGGGAAUAUGUAGAGUUGGAAAUCAAAUAGAUACUCUUCUUUUCAGUUGCUUUAGUUAACAUUCUUUCGAAUAAUGGCAUCUGUUUACCAUUAAAAACAGCAGAUAUGAUUCGAGAGAUAUAAAUUUCCUUCCUCUUGGGUUCCCAAUGGUACUCCUCUUUCAUGCAAAACUCAUAAUUUGGUUUGUUGUUGUUGUUGGAUGCAAUCGGUUUUGGUGGUAUGUGAGAAGAAUUAGGAGAAAAUUUCAGAGAUUAAGACAAGCAUGGAACAAGUAACACGAGUUCUAAGAAUUCUGGGUUAUUCUUUGGCCGAGAAAAUAUGGAAGAGAUGUGAUCUUGCUACCGACUUUUUAGGUGAUUGAUGAAUGAGAUAUCGAGCAUUCAGAAUUCUUUGUUGGGAAAUCGAUUCAGAGCAAGAAAUUGAGCCAAUUGAGCCAUAAAGAGAACAACAAGAACAUCAGUUGAAAGACGCACAAAAGUGUUCAAAGUAGCGCAUGAACGAUCACCAGCUUAGUUCCACCAUGUGGCUGCCAUGGGUUCGUGACUAUUUACUAAGAGUUAGAAAAAGAAUUUGAAGUGGAGAGAGGACUGAAGAUCGGGUAGUAUUUGCUGAUUUGGGUUAGUGUUUAGGCGAGAAAUCAGAUAAUUCACGGUGCUAAUGGAUUUACACUGGAUUAGACAGAUGAGUUCGAAUUAUAAAUGGAUUUGGAUAUCGAUUUUGUUGAAAGCUUGCCGAGAAAUCAACCUAAACUGAUGUUGCAGUGAAGUUUUGUCAUUGAUAUUGAAUGCAGAAGAUUGAUCAAGUUUGAGAUUUUUUAGAAAGUAGUUAAUUAUAUUUUAAUUCCAGCUAAUUCUAGCUAAGAAUUUAAAGGUUGGUAAUCAAGUAAUAAACUCCCUGUUCAGUAUUUUAUUACCCAAUAGUUAAACUGUACAUGAUGUGGCGUUGUAACCUA